AGUGAACGCUGGCGGUAGGCCUAACACAUGCAAGUCGAACGGCAGCACAGUAAGAGCUUGCUCUUACGGGUGGCGAGUGGCGGACGGGUGAGGAAUACAUCGGAAUCUACUUUUUCGUGGGGGAUAACGUAGGGAAACUUACGCUAAUACCGCAUACGACCUACGGGUGAAAGCAGGGGAUCUUCGGACCUUGCGCGAUUGAAUGAGCCAAUGUCGGAUUAGCUAGUUGGCGGGGUAAAGGCCCACUAAGGCGACGAUCCGUAGCUGGUCUGAGAGGAUGAUCAGCCACACUGGAACUGAGACACGGUCCAGACUCCUACGGGAGGCAGCAGUGGGGAAUAUUGGACAAUGGGCGCAAGCCUGAUCCAGCCAUACCGCGUGGGUGAAGAAGGCCUUCGGGUUGUAAAGCCCUUUUGUUGGGAAAGAAAAGCAGCAGGUUAAUACCCCGCUGUUCUGACGGUACCCAAAGAAUAAGCACCGGCUAACUUCGUG
rnacentral:rRNA from 1 species